GAUGAACGCUGGCGGCGUGCUUAACACAUGCAAGUCGAACGAAGCACUUUAUUUGAUUUCCUUCGGGACUGAUUAUUUUGUGACUGAGUGGCGGACGGGUGAGUAACGCGUGGGUAACCUGCCUUGUACAGGGGGAUAACAGUUGGAAACGGCUGCUAAUACCGCAUAAGCGCACGGCAUCGCAUGAUGCAGCGUGAAAAACUCCGGUGGUAUAAGAUGGACCCGCGUUGGAUUAGCUAGUUGGUGAGGUAACGGCCUACCAAGGCGACGAUCCAUAGCCGACCUGAGAGGGUGACCGGCCACAUUGGGACUGAGACACGGCCCAAACUCCUACGGGAGGCAGCAGUGGGGAAUAUUGCACAAUGGGCGAAAGCCUGAUGCAGCGACGCCGCGUGAGCGAAGAAGUAUUUCGGUAUGUAAAGCUCUAUCAGCAGGGAAGAUAAUG
rnacentral:rRNA from 1 species